AAACCAAAACGUGCACCCCUUGGGGUCCCCAGGACCGAGUUUGGGAAACACUGUUCUAGAUAAGGGGGAAGCGUGUGGAGGGCCAGUCUGACAAAUGUACAUUUGAGUCAUUUAGCACACCAACCUCACGUGUGUCCGUGAAGCCCGCUGACAAGGAGGAAACACCCAUCGCUAGAGUCUGCAGCCCUUCCCUUGUCCCAGGCUGUGCUCUGGGGUGAAGUGUCCCUGUGCCAGGCGUGUUGUGCAGUGUGGCUGCUGCCCACAGUGUGCCUGUCAGAGGGGGCAGGUGUGUGGAGGCCCCCACUGGGAGAAAGGUUACUGUGACAGAGACCUCCCUGUUUACUGGACACAGCCCUGUGCCCCUGGGUGUGGGGCUGCAACAUCAGGUCUGGGGCCUGUGACUGCUACUCCCUACAGACUUACCACAGUCUGGACCAAUGUCUCAAAACAAUGAGAGGGCAUGAGCUCUGGAGUGAGAUGAAGAAAGGUGUGGAAUGGGGCUGUGAGCUGCAGGGAAACCAGUGUGUGUAUGUAUGGAGAGGAGCUGUUACUCACCCAUACCAUUACUCUCUGAAGACACCUGUGAAAAUCUUCUAUGUGACAAAAGAUCACAACCAACUGUUGCAACACAGUAGAGUAGAACUACAUUUUGCAAAGGUGUUCAAAAACUCAACAUGAAUGUCUGUACAUGAAUCUCUCUUCUCUCCAUAUGCCUGUCUGAGAGAGCAUGCCGCAGCAAUGUGAACUGUCCUGCUUAUUUCUUCCCGACUGAGCCCUACAUUCCUCCUGGCCAAUGCUGCCCCCUGGUGCCAGGUAUCUGCAACUUUGAGAAAUGCAACUUGGCACCCCCGACCUGUCCUCCUGGCCAGCAAGUCCACCAUGUGGAGAGCGGGGAUGGUAGUCCAGGGGCUUGUUGCCACCGGUACCAGUGUGUGCAGGGUUUGGCACUGCUUAGGCAGCAAAGGGAGAUGGUAGGACAGGCAAAGAUAACUAAAAGAGAAGGGGUGGACAGAGAAAAGGAAAGUGCCAGGACCUGACACAGAGCUGGACUCAGCCAACAGGACUCCACCAGUUAAUAGCCAGUGGUGGGAAAGGUACUCAAUUGUCAUCCUUUAGUAAAAGUAAAGAUACCUUAAAAGAAAAUGACUCAAGUCAAAGUACUACUUGAGUAAAAG